GGGAGGCAGCAGUAGGGAUUUCCGCAAUGGGCGAAAGCCUGACGGAGCAAUGCCGCGUGAGUGAUGAAGGUUUUCGGAUCGUAAAGCUCUGUUGCCAAGGGCGUCCUUGAGAGUAACUGCUCAAGGAGCGGUACCUGAGAAGAAAGCCCCGGCUAACUACGUGCCAGCAGCCG
rnacentral:rRNA from 1 species